CUCUAGGGCUGAAACUAUUGCCAGUCUACGGCCAGUCUCAUCAGAUCUUGGAAACUAAGCAGAGUUGGGCCUGGUUAGGACUUGGACGGGAGAUCGCUGAAUACCAGGUGCCACAGUGG
rnacentral:rRNA from 1 species